rnacentral:rRNA from 1 species
GGAAUUUUACGCAAUGGGGGAAACCCUGACGUAGCGACACCGCGUGAGCGAAGAAGCCCUUUGGGGUGUAAAGCUCUGUCAGCAGGAACGAAUAAAUGACGGUACCUGCAGAGGAAGCAUCGGCUAACUACGUGCCAGCAGCCGCGGUAAGACGUAGGAUGCGAGCGUUGUCCGGAUUCAUUGGGCGUAAAGAGUUCGUAGGCGGUUUGUUAAGUCUGAUGUUAAAGAUCGGGGCUCAACCCUGGGAGUGCAUUGGAUACUGGCAGACUGGAGUGCAGUAGAGGCGAGUGGAAUUCCCAGUGUAGCGGUGAAAUGCGUAGAUAUUGGGAAGAACACCGGUGGCGCAGGCGACUCGCUGGGCUGUAACUGACGCUGAGGAACGAAAGCUAGGGGAGCAAAUGGGAUUAGAUACCCCAGUAGUCCUAGCUGUAAACGAUGGAUACUAGGCGUUGCAGGUAUCGACCCCUGCAGUGCCGCAGUUAACGCGAUAAGUAUCCCGCCUGAGUAGUACGGCCGCAAGGUUGAAACUCAAAGGAAUUGACGGGGGCCCGCACAAGCGGUGGAACAUGUGGUUUAAUUCGAAGCAACGCGAAGAACCUUACCAAGGCUUGACAUCUGUAGAACCUUUCGGAAACGAGAGGGUGCCCGCAAGGGAACUACAAGACAGGUGGUGCAUGGCUGUCGUCAGCUCGUGUCGUGAGAUGUUGGG